rnacentral:rRNA from 1 species
CAGUAGCCGCGGUAAUACAGAGGGUGCGAGCGUUAAUCGGAUUUACUGGGCGUAAAGCGUGCGUAGGCGGCUUUUUAAGUCGGAUGUGAAAUCCCUGAGCUUAACUUAGGAAUUGCAUUCGAUACUGGGAAGCUAGAGUAUGGGAGAGGAUGGUAGAAUUCCAGGUGUAGCGGUGAAAUGCGUAGAGAUCUGGAGGAAUACCGAUGGCGAAGGCAGCCAUCUGGCCUAAUACUGACGCUGAGGUACGAAAGCAUGGGGAGCAAACAGGAUUAGAUACCCCGGGUAGUCCCUGUCUCUUAUU